UAUCAACGGCAUCACGAGGAUCCUACUGUCUCCCCCCUCUAAUCAGUGAAACUGAUCUCCCCGUGAAGAAGCGGGGAUAUACAUAUAAGACGAGAAGACCCCAUGGAGCUUUAAACCUGACAGCACCCGCUCAUUCUAUACCCCAUUAUUUGCCCGACCCCUGUCUGCUCAGUUUUAGGUUGGGGUGACCACGGAGUAUAAAAUAACCUCCAUGAAGAAGGGGAUAUUUCCCUUAUUAGAGAACCACACUUCCAAGAACUAAUAAAUUAAUUUUCAAUGACCCGAUACCCGAUAAUCGAUCAACGAACCAAGUUACCCUGGGGAUAACAGCGCAAUCCACCCUGAAAGCCCUUAUUAACAGGUGGGUUUACGACCUCGAUGUUGGAUCAGGGUAUCCCAGUGGUGCAGCAGCUACUGAGGGUUCGUUUGUUCAACGAUUAA
rnacentral:rRNA from 1 species